rnacentral:rRNA from 1 species
GACGAACGCUGGCGGCGUGCUUAACACAUGCAAGUCGAACGAUGAAGGAGGAGCUUGCUCCUCUGGAUUAGUGGCGAACGGGUGAGUAACACGUGAGCAAUCUGCCCUUGACUCUGGGAUAAGCGCUGGAAACGGCGUCUAAUACCGGAUACGACCCUCGGAGGCAUCUCCUGUGGGUGGAAAGAACUUCGGUCAAGGAUGAGCUCGCGGCCUAUCAGCUUGUUGGUGAGGUAAUGGCUCACCAAGGCGACGACGGGUAGCCGGCCUGAGAGGGUGACCGGCCACACUGGGACUGAGACACGGCCCAGACUCCUACGGGAGGCAGCAGUGGGGAAUAUUGCACAAUGGGCGCAAGCCUGAUGCAGCAACGCCGCGUGAGGGACGACGGCCUUCGGGUUGUAAACCUCUUUUAGCAGGGAAGAAGCGAAAGUGACGGUACCUGCAGAAAAAGCACCGGCUAACUACGUGCCAGCAGCCGCCGUAAAAC